CGCGUAGGCGGUUUGCUAAGUUGAAUGUGAAAACUCUGGGCUUAACCCAGAGCCUGCACUCAAUACUGGCAGGCUAGAGUUCUGGAGGGGAUAGCGGAAUUCCUGGUGUAGCGGUGAAAUGCGUAGAUAUCAGGAGGAACACCGGUGGCGAAGGCGGCUAUCUGGACAGAGUCUGACGCUGAGGCGCGAAAGCUAGGGGGAGCAAACA
rnacentral:rRNA from 1 species